ACUUAAAUAGCUUAUAUAAAAGUAUUAUAGUGAAGUUAUAAUGAAAAAUUUAUUUUUUUAAGUA
rnacentral:tRNA from 1 species